AAGCUCGUAGUUGAAUUUCGGGGUUCUUCCGUUGGUCAGGCUAACAAGUCUGUACUAGCGUGUAGAAUCUCUACCUUCUGGGGAACCAUCAUGUUAUUAAUUUAGCGUGGUGGGAAACCAGGACCUUUACCUUGAAAAAAUUAGAGUGUUCAAAGCGGGCUUACGUCUGAAUACAUUAGCAUGGAAUAAUAAAAUAGGACGGUGGUCCUGUUUUGUUGGUUUCUGAAUCACCGUAAUGAUUAAUAGGGAUAGUUGGG
rnacentral:rRNA from 1 species